UUGGUGAGGUAAUGGCUCACCAAGUCUGCUAUCGGUAGCCGGACUGAGAGGUUGAACGGCCACAUUGGGACUGAGACACGGCCCAGACUCCUACGGGAGGCAGCAGUGGGGAAUAUUGCACAAUGGGCGAAAGCCUGAUGCAGCAACGCCGCGCGAGGGAAGACGGUCUUCGGAUUGUAAACCUUUAACUUUGGAGAAGAAAGAAAUGACGGUAUCCAAAGGAGCAGCCACGGCUAACUUACGUGCCAGCAGCCGCGGUAAUACGUAGGUGGCCAGCGUUGUCCGGAAUUACUGGGUGUAAAGGGAGCGCAGGCGGGGAGGCAAGUCAGCUGUGAAAUGCAUAGGCUUAACCUAUGAAUUGCAGUUGAAACUGUUUUUCUUGAGUGGAGUAGAGGUAGACGGAAUUCCGAGUGUAGCGGUGAAAUGCGUAGAUAUUCGGAGGAACACCAGUGGCGAAGGCGGUCUACUGGGCUCUAACUGACGCUGAGGCUCGAAAGUGUGGGGAGCAAACAGGAUUAGAUACCCUGGUAGUCCACACUGUAAACGAUGAUUGCUAGGUGUGGGGGGUCUGACCCCUUCCGU
rnacentral:rRNA from 1 species